UACGGAGGGAGCUAGCGUUAUUCGGAAUUACUGGGCGUAAGCGCACGUAGGCGGCUUGUAAGUAAGAGGUGAAAGCCCAGAGCUCAACUCUGGAAUUGCCUUUUAGACUGCAUCGCUUGAAUCAUGGAGAGGUCAGUGGAAAUUUCCGAGUGUAGAGGGUGAAAUUCGUAGAUAUUUCGGGAAAGAAACACCAGUGGCGAAG
rnacentral:rRNA from 1 species